rnacentral:antisense_RNA from 3 species
CUUCACCGAACCGAGCCACAGCGGGCGCUCCUCCGCCCGAUCGCGCCCGUACGUCGCCAGCAGCGCCUGCGCCUC